rnacentral:rRNA from 1 species
GACGAACGCUGGCGGCGUGCUUAACACAUGCAAGUCGAACGGUAAGGCCCUUCGGGGUACACGAGUGGCGAACGGGUGAGUAACACGUGGGUGAUCUGCCCUGCACUUCGGGAUAAGCCUGGGAAACUGGGUCUAAUACCGGAUAGGACUCCUGGCUUCAUGGUUGGGGGUGGAAAGCUUUUGCGGUGUGGGAUGGGCCCGCGGCCUAUCAGCUUGUUGGUGGGGUAAUGGCGUACCAAGGCGACGACGGGUAGCAGGCCUGGGAGGGUGACCGGUCAGACUGGGACUGACAUACGGCCCAGACUCGUACGGGAGGCAGGAGUGGGGAAUAUUGCACAAUGGGCGCAAGCCUGAUGCAGCGAGGCCGCGUGAGGGAUGACGGCCUUCGGGUUGUAAACCUCUUUCAGCUAUGACGAAGCGCAAGUGACGGUAGUAGCAGAAGAAGGACCGGCCAACUACGUGCCAGCCGCCGCCGUAA